CUUGUCUCCCCUCUGCGCCGCUCUGUCAGCCGUUAACGGAGCGCUGUGCUGGGGAGGACGCGGGGGGGCGGGACCACAACCCCCCCCCAUCACGGACGGGUGGGCAGGCAGGAGGACGAGGCGGAGGUCAUCCACCGCCCUGCAGCAAGAUCAUUUACAUGCAUUUUGGAGUGGACCCUGAACGCAGCGCGGUUUCACUUCUCUCACAGCGGGACGUCAUUUACAUAAUUGAUGAAGUAUGAUAAUAACAAAAGCUCACUCAGGUUUUUUUUUUUUUGGUCUACAAAACGCAUUUAUCUAGGGAUCAGGGUCCUGGCAGUACGGGUCUACCAGGCGCAGUGCUAGCUGGGUGGAUGACACUUUGGUGCCAGAUAUGGAACCUGCGUCUUCUGGAAUAACAAGACUUUUUGACUUUGUGCGCCCGCGCACCCCCCUUUCCCUCUCCAUCGGUGGUUUACUUUUUGCCUGGCACGGCGUGACAGUGUGCCGUGUGUCUCCUCAUAGGCCUUGGCCUGGCAUAUGCUCUGUGAGCCGUUGGCCUGCCGCCACAUGCAACAGCGCUGCCCUGCGCUCCAGCGUAGCUCCCAGCCACCUGUGCUCUCUCUACAGAGCCCAAGCGGGGGGCCGCCGCCGGGAGCCCCACCGGACCCAUCACACCUGUGACUGCCGGGAAACAAGUCGCUGUGGCGCAGCCGGGCCAUUCACAGCGCUGGUCCCACACAACAACAACAGUCUUAAUUAUAAUUCCAGCGCCACUCCUGGACUAAAUCGACAUUGAGGUUCGUUCCACGUACUGAAGAUUAUUCAUACGCUCGGAAGCACUGCAUGUGUGUGUGUGUGUGUGUGUGUGUGCGUGCGCGCAGAGAACAGAACUGCGUGGCCUCAACAGUAGAAGGUCAGAUAGCAGCAGUCAGAACAUGAAGACAGGGUGUGAAUUCAUAUGCAGCUUAUGGGCUGUGAAAUGUGUUUCAAUGAGAACAGCUAGGCUGCUACAUACAGUAUGUCACAAAAGUGAGUACACCCCUCACAUUUUUGCAAAUCUUUUUAUGUGCCAACACUGAGGAAAUGACACUUUGCUACAAUGUAAUGUUGCGAGUGUACAGCUUGUAUAACAGUGUAAAUUUGCUGUCCCCUCAAAAUAACAACACACAGCCAUUAAUGUCUAAACCGCUGGCAACAAAAGUGAGUACUAAGUGAAAAUGUCCAAAUUGGGCCCAAUUAGCCAUUUUCCCUCCCCGGUGUCAUGUGACUCGUUAGUGUUACAAGGUCUCAGGUGUGAAUGGGGAGCAGGUGUGUUCAAUUUGGUGUCAUCGCUCUCACACUCCCUCAAACUGGUCACUGGAAGUCCAACAUGGCACCUCAUGGCAAAGAACUGUCUGAGGAUCUGAAAAAAAGUAUUGUUGCUCUACAUGAAGAUGGCAUAGGCUAUAAGAAGAUUGCCAAGACCCUGAAACUGAGCACGGUAGCCAAGACCAUACAGCGGUUUAACAGGACAAGUUUCACUCAGAACAGGCCUCGCCAUGGUCGACCAAAGAAGUUGAGUGCACAUUUUCACUUAGGGGUGUACUCACUUUUGUUGGCAGUGGUUUGGACAUUAAUGGCUGUGUGUUGCGUUAUUUUAAGAGGACAGCAAAUGUACACUGUUCUACAAGC
ensembl:lncRNA